GUCUAUCGGCCCAACCCUAGUUCGGAAGCCUGUGCAAUGAUGUAGUUUCCUGACAUACAUCGACUGAACAGCGUUUUCUCGAGAUGUUUCCGUGUUGUUGUUGCUCAGCUAUGUAGUCUGGUGGUUUGG